AUUGAACGCUGGCGGCAGGCCUAACGCAUGCAAGUCGAGCGGAUGAAGGGAGCUUGCUCCUGGAUUCAGCGGCGGACGGGUGAGUAAUGCCUAGGAAUCUGCCUGGUAGUGGGGGAUAACGUCCGGAAACGGGCGCUAAUACCGCAUACGUCCUGAGGGAGAAAGUGGGGGAUCUUCGGACCUCACGCUAUCAGAUGAGCCUAGGUCGGAUUAGCUAGUUGGUGGGGUAAAGGCCUACCAAGGCGACGAUCCGUAACUGGUCUGAGAGGAUGAUCAGUCACACGGGAACUGAGACACGGUCCAGACUCCUACGGGAGGCAGCGGUGGGGAAUAUUGGGCAAUGGGCGAAAGCCUGAUCCAGCCAUGCCGCGUGUGUGAAGAAGGUCUUCGGAUUGUAAAGCACUUUAAGUUGGGAGGAAGGGCAGUAAGUUAAUACCUUGCUGUUUUGACGUUACCAACAGAAUAAGCACCGGCUAACUUCGUG
rnacentral:rRNA from 1 species